CGCCAUGGCGUACACUGAAAACGGCACGUAGGCAGCUACUUAACGACGCGCCCCCCACCACUCUGCUCCUUCUACUGUCCGCUGCACGUUACUUUGUAAUUGGGGAGUUUUUUAUGCCGGACCCUGUAGUUCAAGUAAUCUACCACAAGAAUGCGCUGUUCUACGCAUCCAAAUUGGUAGUACAAAUAAUGUACCACUGUACAACCUCGGUGAAACAUAAGGUGGUACACAAAUUGUACCACCAGACUUAAGAGUUAACAUCCACAUCUGACAGACAUGUGUUCUGCUUUGAAUACAUAUUCAAGAAGAAAAAUGAAAAAAAAUCAAUGAACAGAAUGCCUUAUUGAUUGAAAGGCAGUACACUUAUCUUUAGUUCCUUGUAGCUGUAACUGUGAGAGCAUGUUUUGGUAUUAAUUGAGGUUCUGAUACACAAGAGUGGCUGAAAACAAUGAGCUGCAUUACAGUACAAGCCUGUACUGAAUGUUUACUGCAGCUGUGAUAAAUAUUUAUCUUUUGUUCGUCCUCAACACUCCGUACAUGCAAGCCCAGACUAGGCUUGAGUGAGUGACGUUACAAUGACACUCUGAAGGCAGAAGUGGAACUUCUUUGCUUGUCUGCACUUGACGGAACUGUAGUACCCUUGUAGACAGAACAGAACUCGGACCGGACUCCAAAAGAACUCAUACCAGACACCAGCAGAACAGGAAACACUUGUCCCACAUGGUGCCUUGUAACUACGCGAGGAAUGGCUUACGGCUUCUUUCUCAUUGGUGCCCGAUGAUGAUAACGCUUAGACAUACAGCAUCCCUGUGGCAGUGGAUUGCCAAUUAGCUGCAGGUGAUUACCGAUGAUACCACUCAUGUCACCUGCAACAGUGUCACAAGCCCAUAUGCCAUGAGACACUGAGGAGAGGUAAUUUAAUCUAUGAUGCUGAUGCAAGGUCUGGUCAUUAGAAACAUUAUACUUCCAUCCCCCCUCUCAUUGCUGAGGAAAUACGAGCCACCACUUAGAUUUGAACCAACUUACCUCUGAAUCAAGUGCCACCACAGAGGCAUGUUUCUGUGAUAUUGUGGACGCCAGGGGGAGGGAAAUGACUGGUUGUAUUUAUUACAAUAAUUGCGUGGCUUUUUAACAUAGUUGAUUUUGAGGUAGCAGAGACUACACUAAGAGGUGAGGUUAUUAAUGUAGAUCCGGAGGGAAUGUUAGGAAGGCUGAUGUCGAAUCAUACUGCACCUUCUCCUUGUCAGUGUUUUCCAUACAAUCCUUUCCUCCCCGUUUCUACAGAGUGUCUCUUUGCUUCUUACCGUAUCAGUCCACCUAAUUUUCAACAUUCUUCUGUAACACCACAUCUCAAACUCUUCAUUUCUCUGCUGUUCUGGUUACAUCAUGCAUUAGCUUAACUAAUUUACAUUAAUUUAAUUUUAAAAUGAGAACGCAUGAGCCUUUACAAUCAUUUAUAAGUUCUCCUAAUAGAUUUAAGAUACGUGAAAUGUUUCAUUGUUACAGCCAACAACCAAUACAAGCUAAAUGGAUUGUGGCAUGGAAACACAAUGCCAAAUACAAUUAGUGUUCUGUCAUUUAUUCAUUUGCAACUUGCUACAGCAUCCUUGAGAUUAAAUGCUGAUCAUCACAAAGCGUCUUGCAAACUUGAAUGCACGCAGGGAACCUUUAAAUGGCCACAUUUAUGGGCAAAAUGGAAUCUUAGCUUUGAGACUAACAGAUACUGGCCCUGCAAAACUGAUGGUGGUAUUAAAAGAUACAAUCUUCUCUAAAUUUUACAACAUUUUUCUAGAAGUCAGCUUGGUCACUAACAAAAAUGCAUCCAUCAUCCACAAUGGUUGUCUGCUCCAAUUAAUUUUUAAAGUUCUCUUUCCAGUGAUUGCUUUCAGUUUCUACUCAAACCAAAUUUUAGUAAUCUUGCAUGAGCAGCUGCAUCAUUUUGGCAUCCAACAAGUGGCAUGGAAAAAUCAUUAUACAUGAAUUACAUGUUUGUUCUCUUUUUCAUGUCUCUAAUCUGUGGGAGGACGUAUUAAUCCACAAAUCUGGAGAUACUGUGUACGGGUGGAAGUUGUAUGUUAACCAGCAGAUAUCGGAGAAACCAGAGAAUUAUCCCAGUCCUCACACGCUGUGCUGUAAAAAGGACACUGGUGAAUGAGUUGGCGACACUUCAGCUGCUCGUUCCUCGCCAAUGCUGCCAUGUGGGUCAGAUGUCACAGUAAGCUGACAGCUAAGCCAGUCAUUUGCUAGCAAGAUACAGAUGUAAACAUUCCAUCAGAAGUGGAUGGGGGCACUUCCCUCAUCUUAAGAACAUGCCCACAUCUGGGGUUGCGGAGUGGCAAAACACAACAGCAAACCUUUAUAAUUUCGUGUACCAAUGGAACAAUGAGUCUACAUAGCAUAAUACAAAUGCAUACCAUCGAAAUUCUCCAGCUCUACAUAUACAACCAACAAUCUUCAAGACAUCUAAUGAGGACAAGAAGUGUACAUAACGUUGUUGAAAAUGAAAACCAUUGAAAUCUAAACAAACAACAAAAAGCUGUGAAAUAUACCAGUUCAUGUAAUACCUUAGUCAUUCUACCAUAAAUCCAAUGUAAUCUGAUUGACUACAUUCCGAUUUGUAUAACUAAUUUACUGUUUCAUUUACUUAUUUAUGUGCAUAUGUAAAUGAAAUUUUAAUUGACAUUCAUGGGAAUGUAUUGAAACAACAGUUUGUGUACAAACAAUUUUAAAUGAACAAUUGCACAUCGAAAAAUAUUUCAUUUUUAACUGUACUGAAAGGAAUAUAAACACUGAAGGCAAUUUAUAAAUGAAAUAGCUACAAGCCUUUGUGGGGGAAUUAAACAUUACAUGGACAGACUCAUUUUUACUUAAAUGUAACAUAGCAAAAAUGCCAGAAAGCACAAAAAUGUGCACUAAUCUAAUUUUUUUGCUAUAAAUAACUUCAUGCCUAAAUAACUUACAAUUACAUUCCACAAAAUUAAUGUACAUAAUUUCAUAAAUAACAUUUCAAAGAUAUAGUGGCAGUUGGCCUGUGGCUGACUGCAAUCAAUUAUAAUUGUUUUUUUUUUUGUUUUAAAAAGUAAGCGAAGAGCAUUCCUGCUUGGAUCUCUUUCUCACUUCUCUGUUAGCCGCUGCACUGAUAGGACACACUAUAGCUGCGUUCCUUGCUUAUUGGUAACUAACCUUUCUUUUGUGUAGACAAAUCGUAUGCAAGUGCCAUGUAUUAGCUUUAUAACCAUUUAUUAUUAAAUUAAUGUAUAUUAGUUAA
rnacentral:lncRNA from 1 species